UACGUAGGGUGCGAGCGUUGUCCGGAAUUAUUGGGCGUAAAGAGCUCGUAGGCGGUGUGUCACGUCGUUCGUGAAAACCUGCAGCUUAACUGUGGGCGUGCGGUCGAUACGGGCAUCACUGGAGUUCGGCAGGGGAGACUGGAAUUCCUGGUGUAGCGGUGAAAUGCGCAGAUAUCAGGAGGAACACCGGUGGCGAAGGCGGGUCUCUGGACAGUUCCUGACGCUGAGGCACGAAAGCGUGGGGAGCAAACAGG
rnacentral:rRNA from 1 species